CACGCUGUAAACGAUGAAUGCUAGGUGUGGGAGGUAUCGACCCCUUCCGUGCCGCAGUUAACACAAUAAGCAUUCCGCCUGGGGAGUACGGCCGCAAGGUUGAAACUCAAAGGAAUUGACGGGGGCCCGCACAAGCAGCGGAGCAUGUUGUUUAAUUCGACGCAACGCGAAGAACCUUACCAGGUCUUGACAUCCAUGGAACCGGGCGGAAAUGCCCGGGUGCCUUUCGGGGAGCCAUGAGACAGGUGG
rnacentral:rRNA from 1 species